AGUGGGGGAUAACGUUCGGAAACGGACGCUAAUACCGCAUACGUCCUACGGGAGAAAGCAGGGGACCUUCGGGCCUUGCGCUAUCAGAUGAGCCUAGGUCGGAUUAGCUAGUUGGUGAGGUAAUGGCUCACCAAGGCGACGAUCCGUAACUGGUCUGAGAGGAUGAUCAGUCACACUGGAACUGAGACACGGUCCAGACUCCUACGGGAGGCAGCAGUGGGGAAUAUUGGACAAUGGGCGAAAGCCUGAUCCAGCCAUGCCGCGUGUGUGAAGAAGGUCUUCGGAUUGUAAAGCACUUUAAGUUGGGAGGAAGGGCAUUAACCUAAUACGUUAGUGUUUUGACGUUACCGACAGAAUAAGCACCGGCUAACUCUGUGCCAGCAGCCGCGGUAAUACAGAGGGUGCAAGCGUUAAUCGGAAUUACUGGGCGUAAAGCGCGCGUAGGUGGUUUGUUAAGUUGGAUGUGAAAUCCCCGGGCUCAACCUGGGAACUGCAUUCAAAACUGACUGACUAGAGUAUGGUAGAGGGUGGUGGAAUUUCCUGUGUAGCGGUGAAAUGCGUAGAUAUAGGAAGGAACACCAGUGGCGAAGGCGACCACCUGGACUAAUACUGACACUGAGGUGCGAAAGCGUGGGGAGCAAACAGGAUUAGAUACCCUGGUAGUCCACGCCGUAAACGAUGUCAACUAGCCGUUGGAAGCCUUGAGCUUUUAGUGGCGCAGCUAACGCAUUAAGUUGACCGCCUGGGGAGUACGGCCGCAAGGUUAAA
rnacentral:rRNA from 1 species